CUCUCAUAUGGAGCGUUCAUAUUGCUUCGGUCGAAAUUGGACAAAUCAUGCGAAGGAUAUAACGAGCAAUUUUAUAAAAUAAAUUUGUCGUAAUCUUUUACGGUUGCGAAGAAGUCGUGGACACAAGAAAAACAGUGUUUGGGGAGAUAACUCCUACAAAGAAAAGUAUUCGGUUACGCAGGGUAAAUUUCAAAAGCGCAUAAACUGUUCGAUAUCAUAUACCAAA
rnacentral:lncRNA from 1 species